AUUGAACGCUGGCGGCAGGCCUAACACAUGCAAGUCGAGCGGAUGAAGGGAGCUUGCUCCUGGAUUCAGCGGCGGACGGGUGAGUAAUGCCUAGGAAUCUGCCUGGUAGUGGGGGAUAACGUCCGGAAACGGGCGCUAAUACCGCAUACGUCCUGAGGGAGAAAGUGGGGGAUCUUCGGACCUCACGCUCUCAGAUGAGCCUAGGUCGGAUUAGAUAGUUGGUGGGGUAAAGGCCUACCAAGGCGACGAUCCGUAACUGGUCUGAGAGGAUGAUCAGUCACACGGGAACUGAGACACGGUCCAGACGCCUAAGGGAGGCAGCAGUGGGGAAUAUUGGACAAUGGGCGAAAGCCUGAUACAGCCAUGCCGCGUGUGAGAAGAAGGUCUUCGGAUUGUAAAGCACUUUAAGUUGGGAGGAAGGGCAGUAAGUUAAUACCUUGCUGUUGUGACGUUACCAACAGAAUAAGCACCGGCUAACUUCGUG
rnacentral:rRNA from 1 species